rnacentral:rRNA from 1 species
AACGAACGCUAGCGGCAUGCCUAACACAUGCAAGUCGAACGAGACCUUCGGGUCUAGUGGCGCACGGGUGCGUAACGCGUGGGAACCUGCCUUUAGGUUCGGAAUAACUCAGAGAAAUUUGAGCUAAUACCGGAUGAUGUCUUCGGACCAAAGAUUUAUCGCCUUUAGAUGGGCCCGCGUUGGAUUAGCUAGUUGGUGGGGUAAAGGCCUACCAAGGCGACGAUCCAUAGCUGGUCUGAGAGGAUGAUCAGCCACACUGGGACUGAGACACGGCCCAGACUCCUACGGGAGGCAGCAGUGGGGAAUAUUGGACAAUGGGCGAAAGCCUGAUCCAGCAAUGCCGCGUGAGUGAUGAAGGCCUUAGGGUUGUAAGGCUCUUUUACCCGAGAUGAUAAUGACAGUAUCGGGAGAAUAAGCUCCGGCUAACUCCGUG